rnacentral:rRNA from 1 species
GACGAACGCUGGCGGCGUGCUUAACACAUGCAAGUCGAACGGUGAAGGGGUCUGCUUUUGUGGGCCCUGGAUGAGUGGCGAACGGGUGAGUAACACGUGAGUAACCUGCCCCCUUCUUCUGGAUAACCGCAUGAAAGUGUGGCUAAUACGGGAUAUUCUGGGUCUGUCGCAUGAUGGGUCUGGGAAAGAUUGCGCCUUUGGGUGUUUUUGGUGGGGGAUGGGCUCGCGGCCUAUCAGCUUGUUGGUGGGGUGAUGGCCUACCAGGGCGGUGACGGGUGGCCGUCCUGAGAGGGUGGACGGUCACACUGGGACUGAGACACGGCCCAGACUCCUACGGGAGGCAGCAGUGGGGAAUAUUGCACAAUGGGCGCAAGCCUGAUGCAGCGACGCCGCGUGAGGGAUGGAGGCCUUCGGGUUGUAAACCUCUUUCGCCAGUGAAGCAGGCCUGCUCCUUGUGGGUGGGUUGACGGUAGCUGGAUAAGAAGCGCCGGCUAACUACGUG